AUUGAACGCUAGCGGGAUGCUUUACACAUGCAAGUCGAACGGAGUGGCGAACGGGUGAGUAAUGUAUCGGUACGUGCCCAGUAGCGGGGGCUAACUAUGCCAAAGCGUAGCUAUUACUGCAAACUAUCGGUGCGGCCAAUAUCGGAUUAGCUAGUUGGUGGGGUAACGGCUCACCAAGGCGACGAUCCGUAGCUGGUUCGAGAGGACGACCAGCCACACUGGGACUGAGACACGGCCCAGACUCCUACGGGAGGCAGCAGUGGGGAAUUUUGGACAAUGGGGGAAACCCUGAUCCAGCCAUCCCGCGUGUGCGAUGAAGGCCUUCGGGUUGUAAAGCACUUUUGGCAGGAAAGCGGUACCUGCAGAAUAAGCACCGGCUAACUACGUGCCAGCAGCCGCGGUAAUUC
rnacentral:rRNA from 1 species